rnacentral:rRNA from 1 species
AUUGAACGCUGGCGGCAUGCCUUACACAUGCAAGUCGAACGGCAGCACGGGUGCUUGCACCUGGUGGCGAGUGGCGAACGGGUGAGUAAUACAUCGGAACAUGUCCUGUAGUGGGGGAUAGCCCGGCGAAAGCCGGAUUAAUACCGCAUACGAUCUACGGAUGAAAGCGGGGGACCUUCGGGCCUCGCGCUAUAGGGUUGGCCGAUGGCUGAUUAGCUAGUUGGUGGGGUAAAGGCCUACCAAGGCGACGAUCAGUAGCUGGUCUGAGAGGACGACCAGCCACACUGGGACUGAGACACGGCCCAGACUCCUACGGGAGGCAGCAGUGGGGAAUUUUUGACAAUGGGCGAAAGCCUGAUCCAGCAAUGCCGCGUGUGUGAAGAAGGCCUUCGGGUUGUAAAGCACUUUUGUCCGGAAAGAAAUCCUUGGCCCUAAUACGGUCGGGGGAUGACGGUACCGGAAGAAUAAGCACCGGCUAACUACGUG